CCUCGCGUCGUUCUUCUUCCCAUAUAGGAGUGGUUAUACUAUGUGUCUAUCUUCUAUCUCCGCCCACCUUUUUGCACGCUCCCGUGCCUUGUUUUGGAGUUUUAUCUAUGGUCAGCGCACUCCCGAUGCCCGAGCUAUCGUUUGCUUCACACUGACAUCAUAGCGGAUUACAAUGUCAAAUAUUUUGGAAGCAGCACUAGCCUCCGGUUUUACACCCCGCGAGAGAGAUUCGUCGUUUAUAUUCCAGUCAUUUGAAAUAUAAAGUUGCAAUAUUUUUCGCAUGAAACAUUUUUGGGGGAUGGAAUGAUGCAUUCAAGUUAAGGUCUAUGUAACAGAGAGUGGGUCAGGUCAGGGAUGCUGCAGCAUCGGAGGGAAUCUGACUCUCAUGGCCUGUUUUCAUCUGGAGAGACCUCCGACAAUGACUGUGAGAUGGGGGCAAGUUGUGGAGAAGUUGGCGUAGUGUGUUUGUGUGAGACUGGACCCUGCACACUAUACUCUGAAGCACACACACAGACACCGGACACACUGAAAUGUGAACACUGUGGGAAAAACAGGGUAGUGAUAACCAGAUACUCAGAGGGAUAUGGCACAGAGGAAGAGUGUGCCCUGUCCGAUCCUCAGGGCGACAGCGAUGCAGACGCUGACAUCGAGGACACAGAUUGCAGACUACAGGAGCCAGGUUCUCUCCAGCGAAUCAGUUCGCGGAGACGGAAGCGACCACGAAUAGCACGGCAGGACACCACGGAGAGUGAGGACGAUGGGGGGAGGAGUCACAGGAGUCACCGCUGGAACCUCAGACUCAGUCCCCACCGCGCUCACAACAGAACCUUACUAGAGGAAAGUGUAUCACAGGUCAGACCGUUAGUGAUCUGUCGGCCCAGUAUCAGAGGAGACGGUCAGGGGCCUCCAGUCGAAGGGCCCAGAACUGGCCC
rnacentral:lncRNA from 13 species